rnacentral:rRNA from 1 species
GACGAACCGAGCGACCGUUAUUCGGAAUCACUGGGCUUAAAGGGCGCGUAGGCGGGCGAUCAAGUCAGGGGUGAAAGCCCCCAGCUCAACUGGGGAAGUGCCUCUGAUACUGGUCGUCUCGAGGGAGGUAGGGGCGUGCGGAACUUCCGGUGGAGCGGUGAAAUGCGUAGAUAUCGGAAGGAACACCGGUGGCGAAAGCGGCGCGCUGGACCUCUUCUGACGCUGAGGCGCGAAAGCCAGGGGAGCGAACGGG